rnacentral:lncRNA from 1 species
AAGGUUAUAUUUAUAGCCAAAAUAACUAAUAACUAAUAUAUAUGUAUAUUUCGCAAAACUCAAUAUAUAUGUAAAUUAAAUAAGAAAUUCCAAGAAAAGAAUCAAAUAGAAAUUCCAGAAAAACAAAGAAAUUAGAAAAUUCAAAGGUUCGAGGAGUAGGGAUUUGAAGGCAAAUCGAUCACCCUGCAGAAGCAGUGCCGGAGUUGUACCUCGAGUUGCGUAAAAAGCGUAAGCACCAUGCGCCCUGUAAAAGAAUUCAAUGGCAUCGUUGUGAGCGCCGUCGUUCUUGGCGUUCGGUUCGGUGGGCCUUGGCAGGGCCCCGCCCACGGCGUCCUUGCCUCCCCUCACGUCCGAAAAGCAUCCUCCCAUCCACUUCAAUCAAAAAUCCCAAACCUUUAUCCGUACUCUCUCUCUCCUCUUUCUUCGUCUCUCUGAAAUUCGAGAACCCAGAAGCAAAUUGCGACUGUUAAUCGCAAAAUCAGUCUGCCAGUUAGGAGAUUUUGCGUGAUUAAGCUUCGUUAAACCCCAAGGAUUAUGGUAUUUGAUUCUUUGCGAUGCGCAUAUAUGUAUAUAUAGGCAGUGAGAUCGUGUUUCUUGCAUAUAUAUAUAAGAGGAAUGCAAACUGGGUGCUUUAUACGUUAUCCAGCCUUAUCCGGAAAUUUUCUCGAACGCGGAUUUCUCGAAGCUUCACUUUAUGGAAUUUUUUUUUACUGUGUCAAUAUUUUAUAUUAAGAGAAUGGGAGCUCAAUUAAGCUACCAUUUUAUGGAAUUUACUUCAAGUAUUUCCAAAUAAUGAAAGAAAAGUCUUUUUUUUAAUGGAAAAUCAAUAAAAAUCUUAGACAAAUAUAAUAAAAUUAACCUAGCUUCUCAAUGUGAAUAGAAGUUUUGAAUUUCCUACGUGAUCGAUUUACGAGACUUCGUACUUAUAAUCAGAAUUGUUUAUAUUGUAAAUAAUUACGUAAAGAUCAUAUGUGCAAAAAAUUAAUAAAUUAUGAGAUCAUUCAAUUAUUGAAUUAUAUAAAAAUUUCUGAAUGAAUUUCAUAAAAGAAUCAUGAACCGUCUAUUUAUUUGCUAAAAUUGAUUGACUAAACGAUUUUUUCAUUAAUUUUUUUUGUAGAAAUAUUUUUACAUAAUGAAUUAUUAUAUGAACUGCUCUAUUAUUCUCUAAAUCGACCACAAAAUAUUUUGAGGAAGAACUCAUUUUAGGAGUCAAACCCAUUUUUAAAAAUACUUUUUUAAGUCAUAGAAUAGUUUUCAUAUUAAGAAUGAAGAAUUAAUAUUUUUUUAAUUUUUCUCUUAAUAAACAAUAUGAAUGGACUAAGCCUCAUAAUGGGCGGCCAUAAUAGUGUGGUUCAAAUACAUCUUUGACGAAUCGAAUAUAAGACAUCUCACUUACAAGUGAAGAAAAAUACUCUUAUACCAUAGUACUAAGUAGCAAUAUUUUGUGCUUUUAAAAGAAGGUGAAUUAAAUCUUAAUAUUUUUUGUACUUUGCAGCUUAGUCGAGUUGGCAAUAUGGUACUUCCCUUUCUCUCAAGUUCAAAUCCUCAUUUCAUUUCUGUAAUUUAGUUAAUUUAUAUAAAAGAUUUUAUUUUUUGUCAAAACAAAAGUUCUUAUUUUAUUUAUUUAUAAAGAAUAAUACAAAAGUUAAGAAAAGGAAUUUCACUCGCCUACGUUUUGGUAUUUACCAAUGAAGUUCACUUUUUUGGCUUAACUAUUAAUGUAGAGUUGAUCGUUUCAAUUUUUUUUUCAUGUUGGGAAAAUACUUUAAUUAUAAGAAAAGGAAGCAACAAAACGUGUGAAGUCCCAAGACUGCUCACCUAAUUUGAGCCCCUGUGAAGCCGUCUUUCGUAUGAACCUUCAUAUUUAUCUAAUGGUGGAUAAACUUCUGAGUUUAGAUUAAAGAAUUAUUAUUGUCACUCCAAAAAUUUCAUUUUGCACUCCAAACUUUCUAUAUUAAGUAAAAAAAUUACACUUGUGAGGAGUGUAGAAUGAGAUUUUUGGAGUGUUAAUAACAAUUCCCUUAGAUUAUUCCUUAUGUUUUGGUAAAUAAGAAUAAUCUAAACCCAUAAGUUUAUUCACUAUUAGAUAAAUCUGAAAGUUCAUACGAAAGAGGUCCUCACAAGUAGGGGUGAAUUCACUUUGGGGCAAGGUGGGUCACUUGACCUCCACAAACUCAAAAAUCCUCCAUGCAAGAGUUGGAUAUUGCCUUUGAAAAUCUGAGAUGCUCGUGAAAGCUAUCCUCCAACUGCUUUUUGAAUUGCCUUUAUGGUUCCUAGGCAUGAUAGUUGCUAGCCUUAUGCAUUUGUAUGUGUUGCUAUAGCCAUCUGUCGAUGGGCUCACUCGGCAUAUAUUGGCAUCUAUCGACAAACUUGCUCAAAAACUACUGACAUCAGUAGACAUGCUUGCGCGAAAGAUGUUGACAUGUGUGCAAUACGAAUCGACAAAUGAUCUCAAACCUAUCAAGGCUCGAUAAAAUGCUAAUUUGCUUGCCAUUCCGCCUAAAAGAAAUUUUGCUCGCUAGUCUUAUUGAACUCCUCCCAAUAUAUUUCAUCGAUCUACCAUUGCUCACAAGUCUUGAAAAUGAAGCUUUAGGUGAGCAAGCACAAGGGAUAAUCAAGCAGAUGAACGGUCUAUACCUAACUCCAAAUUCAACAACAAUCCUCCACACCCAAAAAAAUAAAUAAGACCACAAUAAUGAAGAAAUACAAUUAAAAUAAUUUCCUAAAUUUUAAGAAAAUGUUUCAUGAAUUACUAAUUUUCUAAACCAAAUUAGUGAGAAUGAUAUGAAGCACAAUAUUUUCUCAAUUUGUUUAUGAAGAGAAAUUACAAAAUAAAAACAUCCAUCAAAUAGAUUGGUUUACUAGUUUGAGGAUUGAAUGGAAUCGAACCAAAUCAAAUUGAAUUGUUGAAAUUGCUUACAAGGGUUGGUCCAUUUGGUAAGGGCGUGCAUGUGAUUAACCCUAAUCCAAGUUCGAUUCUCUCAUCCAAUAGUUCUCAUUGGUGCAAGAUCUGUAAGUUCAUACGUAAAUAUAUAUAUGUAGCAGCUGACAGUUAGAUGUUAUGCGUAAAUCUUUUCGACUUAAAAUUGUAGAUAUUCUCUAACGCUGGUAGUAAGAGUAGCUAAUCUCUCUCUUUCUUCUUCAAAGUUGACUUGGAAAAUUUCUACCUUCCCUUGCAAUACUCCUGUCGGGGUAAGAGUAGCCAAUCUCUUCCCUUUCUUCUUCAAAGAGGUCGAGGAGUUCCUGUCCCAUUCAUACUACUGUGGCUUAUGGAGUGUGCCAAUAAUGCAAUAUAAAAUAUUGGGAAACAAAUACUUGUGGAUAAACCUAAUGACUCGACUCCAAUAUGUCCUUCUUUUUUCUUUUUCAUAGAAGUUGACUUCAAUAUGUUUAUGGAUAAAGCUUAGUCCAUAGCAAAUUAUUUAGAUAAGACUUCUUACAACGGUUUAGUUGGCGUCACCAGAAUGACGUCAAUAUUAUCACGAAAGCAUGCAUGAAAUCAAAUGGUAUAUCACGAUCAGGUAUCAACUUUAGAUAAAUUUAUCAACAAUUUAUUGGGUAAAUAUGCUUGCUGCUGACCAUCUCAUUGCAACAUUUUUAAAAUCUCAAUCACACGUACAUACGUGCAGUGACAGAUUCAAGAUUUAGACUUUAGGAAAUUUCAAUGUUAAACGUUUAAGUUUUUAGACAGAAACAAAGCGAGAAACAUGCAAAAAAAAUUUAGUUUAUUUACUGAGGUACUUCAUGGAAUACUAAUGGGUUUGUUGUCGUCAGCUAACUAUGUUGCGUAGAUGUCAACACAUAUCGACAUAUGCCGAAACAAUUUGAUAAGUGAUAUCGAGAGAAUUUGUCAAGUGAUGUCAGGGCAACUUGUUGAGACAUGAAUAGCAAACAUUACAUCAAAUAUUUGGUGGGCACAAAAAGACACGUGCCAAAUACGGAGGGUUGUUGGAAGACGUUCGCAUGUAUAUUUCCUAGACUUCAAAUGGUCCUGAGAUCACUUGGUUCUAAUGUGCAUCCGCCUCUGCAUGUGUGUACAAGUUUAGAUUGUUUAAAUACAAUGUGAAAUAUAGAUCACACAAAAUAUCACUUCAUGUAUAAAUAGGAUUUGGAUUCUAUUCGGAUCCAAAUUGUGGAGAUCGAGGGAUCUUCACAUUUUAACCAUUCAUUGUGUAUCGUGAUGUUAUAAAUUAUUUAACCUUUUUUUUAUUUAAAAUUAAACACAAAAAAUACAUGACAAAAACUGACUACACGAUAUACGAUGACCAGCUAGAAUGUAGGGAUCCUUAUGGGUGGUUUGGGAGUGAGGUGCUUAAACAAAAAGCACCCAUGAAAAAAAUCUGUGAGGGUUUUAGGUGUUUGGUAAACUGAAAAAAAAUGGCUUAUUUUGGAAGCUGCUGUGAGAAUAAGCUGAAAUUAAAGGAAAAAGCUAAAGCUGCUAUUUGCAGCUUUGGAAAACUGGCUUUUUUCAAAGCACAUGGAGCUACAGUGCUCUUUUAAUGAAAAGACCCACUAUCAAAUUGCUUUUUUUUUCCAAAAGCACUUUUACAAAAAAAUUUACCAAACACUCUGUUGAUAUUUCACAGCCGCUUAUUCUCACAGCACAACUGCUUAUUCUCAUAUCAACUUUUUUUUAAAGCACAUCAAUACCAAACCAGCCCUUAGAAUCCUCAUAAAGUGAAAGGAUCCUCUUCUUUGUAAUAUACUACAUUAGCUUAAUUAGCUGCAUUAUUAUUUUAAAUAUUUAUGGUUAAUUGCUUGGAAAAUGUAUUAUAAUAUGAAAUAAUGAACAUUCUUCACAUACAUGUAUGUGGAAAAGGUUGUGGUUUGACGAUUGACUGACUAGGCGGAGACCAAUUUCACUUUUUGAUUGCAAUUUACGAUACCGGUCCAAGUUCCAACAACCCACCAACUAGUAAAUUUGUAUCGAAAAUGCUUUAAAAAGAUUCUCUUCUAUAUAUAUACAUAGAGAGAGAGAGAGGAUUACGAUGCAGGAAUGUGCUGGAAAGACUGGAAACAUUGAGGGUAAGUUUUGAAGUUGUUGAUAUUCCAACAAACAUCGGAAUUGAUUAGUAUUUUCCAUGGUGAACGAAAUUGUGACUGCAUUUGCAUGCACGACUCCCAUGCACCUUACACGUGGUGAAGUCAUCAAACGACAACCUCGCGGAAAAUGAACGUUUAUUGUCAAUGAUAUAAAUUUUACGCGUAAGCAUAAAUUUUAUGCGUAAACUUUUUUUUACAUGAGAGUUGUAUCAUUAGUACAAAAUACUACAAUUAAAAUUACUCAGUGUUAUGAAGUUGGUCUCAUGUCUUGUGAGCAUGUUUCCUAUGCCGUCCUUGUUCGUCAUGUUUAUUCACACAGCGAAUUGUAGGAAGGGAAUUGUAGAGUAUUUUCAUCUAUGUUAAAUUGACAUAACUAGGUCUCAAAUCCAACCCAAAACACACAAGUCUACUCGUUUUUGGGUCCAAGGCUCACUAGUCGCUUAUGAGUCUUGAUCUAAAUACAUGGCGUUGACGUCACGCUCACCUAGCUAGGAGAGUGUGGGACCCACCACGAUGGUUACUUACAAUGUACUCAACACGUGGCCAAAUAUAAGAGGUUACUUUCAAAUUUUCAUUCUAAUCCAGCCGUUCAAUAAUUAAUUUCAUCCGUUCAAUAAUUACUAAAUAAUUGAAUUAUACAUAAAAAUUAAAUAAAUCUCUGUAAAUGUAACAACAUUUACCAAAAUCGAGAUCAUUAUUUGUACGUGACUUUUCUUGAGAUAUCAAGUCCACCACUAAAACUUUUGUAUCCAAAAAGCCCACUUCCUCAUAUGAACGCAUUACGCACCCUACAACAAGUAGACACAGCAUUUAUCAAUGAGAAGUGGUUUCCGUAAACUCAUUUUCUCUCUCUGUAAUGGUCUGCAAAAUUGAAAAAAAUGUGCACGGAAAUCAUUCCCCUUUAUCAAACAGAGUGAGCUACAAUUCAUAACCUAAACUUGCCAAGGCAAAAGCUAACGUACUGUUCUGUCAAAAACAAUGCUGUCAACCUUCAGCAGUACCAAUUUUUUUUUUUUGUUGAAAUUUGGUGACACCAAAAUCACUAUUCAUCUUUUUCAUUGGCUUUAUAUGUAGAUGUAGAGUUGAUCGUUUCUUUUUUUCAUGUUGGGAAAAUGCUUUAAUUAUAAGAAAAGGAAGCAACAAAACAUGUGAAGUACCAAGACUGCUCACCUAAGUACUAGGAUUGCUCACCUAAUUGGAGGCCCUGUGAUGACGUCUUUUGUAUGAACCUUCAGAUUUAUCUAAUGGUGAAUAAACUUAUGGGUUUAGAUUAUUCCUUAUAUUUUGGUAAAUAGGAAUAAUCUAAACUCAUAAGUUUAUUCACUAUUAGAUAAAUCUGAAAGUUCAUACGAAAGAAGUUCUCUCAAGUAGGGACGAAUUCACUUUGGGACAAGGUGGGUCACUUGAGCUCCAAAAACUCAGAAAUCCUCCAUGCAAGAGAUGGGUACUGCCUUUGAAAAUAUGAGAUGCUCUUGAAAACUGUCUUCCAACCGCUUUUUGAAUUGCCUUUAUGGUUCCCAUGCAUGAUAGUUGCUAGCUUUAUGCCUUUGUAUGUGUUGCUAUAGGCAUCUGUCGAUAGGCUCACUCGUCAUAUAUUGGCAUAUGUCGGCAAGUUCGCUAAAAAACUAUUGACGUUAGUAGACAUGCUUGUGCGAAAAAUGUUGACAUGUGUGCAAUACGAAUUAACAAAUGACCUAAGGCCUACUAAGACUCGAUAAAAUACUAAUUUGCUUGCCAUUCCGCCUAAAAAAAAAAAUUGCUCGCUAUUCUUAUUGAACCCCUCCCAAUAUAUUUCAUCAAUCUACCAUUGCUCACAAGUCUUGAAAAUGAAGCUUUAGGUGAGCACAGCACAAAGGAUAAUCAAAAGCAGAUGAGCGGUCUAUACCUAACUCCAACUUCAACGACAAUCCUCCACACCAAAAAAAUAAAUAAAUAAGACCACAAUAAUGAAGAAAUAAAAUUAAAAUAAUUUCCUAAAUUUUAAGAAUAUGUUUCAUGAAUUACUAAUUUUCUAAACCAAAUCAAUGAGAAUGAUAUGACGCACAAUCUUUGCUCAAUUUUCACUAAGGACUCAGUUAGAAUUUUUUUUCAGAAGUACUUUUGCGCAAGCAUUAUAUUAAAAUUCAAAAAAAUUUUAGGACUCAUUCGCAACUUACAAACAAAUCACUUGGAAAUAAUUUCUGAAGAAGCAUUUCAUGCACGCUUUUACAAAAAACACUUUUAUAAUACAUGAGUACUUUCAUUUUCUUGUCAACCGUAGUCAUAAGCAUUGUUAGUUGUCAUGAAAACUUUUAAUCAUGCCAAAAAUCAUUGAGGCAAAUGCUUGGACUGCAAGAAAGAUCAAAAUUUAGAGAUUUUAUAGUUUUCUGAUAGAUUCUUGAAUUUCACGUUUAUCAACCAAUGAAAUGCUUUGUAAUAUCAAAUGCAUUGUUGUAGUAUCGAGCAUUCAUAUCCACAUUUCACAUUGCAUUAGCAUGAAUGCUCGAUACUACAUAGUAUUUGUGAUGUCCCUUUACAUGGGUACAAAGAUUUGCCAUCGUUAAUGUGGCCUCUCUCUAUUUUUCCCAAUGGAUUCCAAAACCAUCCUUAACUAACAAAACAUGUUUUGUCCCGGAAGACUUGUCAUAGAAUUUCUAAGGCAGGUGAUGCUUGGGCAGCUGCAUUGAAGGUGAGCGGCUUGAUGUCCAUGGAACGCAUGUAACUCAAAAACUGUCCGGGCAGCUCUUCCAGAAGACCUUGAACAACAGAAAUCUGCCCACCUGCUUACAAGUUACAAACCCCACAGAUUGCCAAAUUAGUACAGGAUGAAAGAAAGUCUGAACUCAGUUCUAGUAACUUCGCAUCACACGAUGUUGACGUGCACCUAAAGGUACAAUGGAUGUUUAGAAGGAGAAAUGGAGGUCAUGGAUACUUACUCUGCACAUCUCUCAUUGGAACGAACUGGACAAUGUCACGCGUAGCUAUGCGACCUGUAGAACUUUCUAAUCGUUGCCCGUUGUCAGCGUCAAGGAUCUGCCAAAUACAAAAGAUUCAGACGAAACUUCAUGAUAUGCAGAAAUCAAAAACCAGUAUAUGAAAAUCCUGAAUAAGCACAAGUAUUACCUCCAUUUGUUUGAAAUCCGCGUUACCAACUCCAACGAUGAGGAUUGAUAGAGGAAGAUUAGAUGCCCUCACCAAAGCAUCUUUUGUUUCUUGAAGGUCAGUGAGGAUUCCAUCCUAGAAAACAAGAUGGCAUUCAUAUUAUCAUUUUUUGUAAAACAAAGAACCCAGGAGUUAAAAAUUCAAUUUGAAUUCAUCGUGCUCUUACUGUUAUAAUGAGCAAGACGUAGUACUUGUUGUUGUUGGACGAGAGGGACCUGGCGGCAAUUUCAGCAGCCCUGUUAACCACUUGGCCAAACAACGUCGGUCCUGACAGAGCAACAUUGCGUAGAGCAUUGGCAUAAGCAGCCAUUAUGCCUUCAACUCCGACAACCUGUUAAAUAAAUGACACGAUUGAAUUUACUGAGAUGGUAAAACAAAAUAUAGUUCAGGUGUAUUGAAUGAGAUUGCAAACAAAGGGUAAAAGAGCAUUGCAAAGGGUUAAACUACUCCUUUACCUCAGAUUCACUUGCAUUUCCAUUCAAGUUGAAGCAGUGUGUGAUACAGUUCCAUUAGCCGUCCUUCCUCCAAAGCCCCAAGCAGGAAAACUCUUAUCAGCAUCAUAGAACUGAAUGACUUGUCCUACUUCUGUUAUAACCUGCAAAGGAAAACAUCUAAUCAAUCAAUAUGCUUUCACUAACUAUCGAACAGAAAAGUACCCAUAACAACUAACCCUCGAGAACAAAUGACCUUAAUUAUGUACGAAUUCAAUACACGUCUGCAAAAAGAAUAUGGUGGAUAAGAUAGAACUAUCCCUAUUGAAGCACAUGCUUACCUGCUGGUAAGAAUUCAGCCGGCCAUAAGGAUCAAUAUAGUGCAAAGACUCGGGCUUUCUAGGAUCUCCAUUUGAACCUGGACAAAAUUUAAUAUUCGAAACAAGAAAGUAUAUCAAACCCAUGAACUUUUGCAGAGUGAAGACUGAAUUAAAUUACUAGACUAUAUCCGACAUUGCUUACCCGUAAAAUCAACUGCAACCAUGAAGUUAAGCUCAAAUCCACUAGAUAUAUAGUCAACAAAGCUGAAUUGUUCUUUCUCACAAAAUUGAUCCACAAAUAGCUGACCCUUCAAAACCUACGUUAGCAUAUAUUACAAAGCAAACGUGAGUAAAUUCAAAUUGACAUGAAAUACUAAGGAAUUGGACUGCAAGAUUGAAUAAAUACCUUUUCAUGACCCGCACGAGAAGAUGGAAUAAAAAAGUUCACCCCACUUUUUUCUUUGAAUAGUUUUUCAAGGUCUGCUACUGAUUUUUGGAGUUUCCUGAGUAAAACGAAUAGAGAGGUUAAUUACAAAACAAUGAUAUCAUGCAAGAAGUAACAAAAUAAAGACUUGGAACCAAUCAAUAAUUACCCAAUAAGAAUGUGGUUGCCAUUGCUGUUGAAAUCAAAACACUCAAAAACCAGUGGGGUGUCCUGAAUCAAAUUGAAGAAAGUUAUAUGAUCUCUCUAUCGUAUUUCUCAAUUACCAAAAUUUAUAUACUCUAAUUUAACAGGUAACCAAGCAAUAAUUCACAAGCUUACCUUGCUUCCGAACUGUUGCAUACUCAGGCAUAAUGGUUUCCAGGUCGGGUUUAAAUUGUUAUCCACCACCUCAGUCUUGCAAAUUGGAAUAGAACCCCCAGUCUCAACAGUUCUUGAUAUUCUUAAGAAAGGAUCCUGAAGUGAAGAAUCGGGAAAGAAACCUAAGAAUCAUACAAUAUAAGAAAUUUGUAUAUACAAGUAAAAAUAUCGCACGAAGCUUCUUUGAAAUGCGUACGCUUUUAGAGAAAAGAGAUCUUUGUUGUCCAAGUGGGCACAGCGGAAUUUAAUCUCUACAGCACUCGUAGAAGCAAUAGUUUCCUCGGCAUGCACGGUGAGUGUUCCAAAGUUUCUCAAACCUCCAAGCCCGUUUUUGCCGUUCAGAGUCAAUGUUAAACUUCGAUUUUGUUUAGUCACAAUCUGCCGUCAGAAAAGAGAGUACACAGCAAAAUAUAAAUUAGGUUUGACUUCAUUUACUAGAAAACUAUGAAAUCUUAGGUACUGAUUUCAAUACAUUUUGGGCAACAGUUUUGCAUUUGAUUAAAUAAAGGAAACCACUACAAGCUAUAUCGAUAUCUUUCCUUAGCUGCAUCAACGGUGAGCAGAAUAGAAACACAUAACUCGAAGUAUUAAUUAAAUGAGUCUAUAUACAUAUCACACCAGCUCAAUGAAAAUAUAUGAGCUGAAUAGAUUUCAAGAGAAUUACCUCUGAAAGAACACAACUGCCUUCUCCAAGAAACUCUUGAUCCCUCAAAUUCAGAGUCUGCAAGGCAACAAAAUAAGAAGGUUAACACAUGAAUUGUAUUAGGUUUUUCGUUCUAAAAGAAACGCUAAAAAUUCAAAGAAGUCUCGUCAUACCUUUACAGGUACAUUGUGGUAUUGUGUAUCAACAUCGUAGACACGGAAUCUUGGAGGAGAACACAAGAAAAGAAAAUAAGCAAACGUCUGGUAAACUACAAAGAUAUCUUCAGAGAGAUAGGUUCUACAGAAAAUAUGAGAAACUUACAUCAAAUUCUGCACCAUCUCGAACUGAUAAGCUACUGAAACUUUCUGUAUCCAUACCGGAUUUAAAUUGUUCAGUAUGACUUCAGUUCUCCCGAGUUCCUCUAGCUUACCAUCAUUCUUCUUGAGGUAUACAACCACCAUAGGAUCACUCUGAAAGAAAACCACAGAAUUUUUUAGCCUCGAUAGUAAACUCGUAGCGGUCAGAUGACACUGUUACAAUAACUUUGUUACUUAGAUAAAACUUAACCAGUAUUUUAACUGCUAUGUUAUCACAAGUAAGGUGACAUGGAUAGCAUACCUUUGAAGUGACAUCAAGAUCAAGCAGCUUGGAUGCUGAAAAGGAUAACUGUAGCAAAAAAUUGAAAAACAUUAACACAAAACAACAAAAACAACAACCAAGCCUAAUUCACUAAAUGGUGUCGGUUGUAUGACUCUCCGUAUGCCACUGCACUUGGUUUUGGAAGACAAAAGAUGAAAGACAAAAUCCAAAGGAAAUAAAGAAUCAAGGCUUUUGGAAUUUGGACCCAGCAAAUUAUCACAUUGUAAAAAUGGUUUUGUCUUAUGGUCCCCAAGUCAACAUUGGCAUAACAAAAUAAAAAUGAGAAUCUUGCUAAUGUCCUGUUUGUGAGACCCUCUCUAGGCCAUCCAUGCUAAUAAACACUUGUGAAACAUGCAACCUCACGUAACACACCAAUCACUUGUGAAACAUCCAUGCAAAUAAACAUGAUACACAUAAAGUUGACAUAGUAUUUUGGUCAAACAUUUGGAACACAUUGUAAACCAAAUAUGACUUGGGUCCUUAAAUUGGGGGAAAUCUUAUUUCAGACUGUCAGAUUUCAUGCCUUGUCCAAUCACUCAAUAAGAUGUUUGCACUAACAAGCGUAUAACUGUUUACUUUCCACUUUAAUAAUUUCACUAACAAACAUAUUCACAUAAUACGUUUGGAUGAUAUGUUGAAAGUCAAUAACGUGUUAUCUGUUCGUUAAUAGACGGACGUGGUUAGAUCGCCUAACACAAGAGUCUCACCAACAUUUGGAUGAGUGGGUAUUGUGACGCUUGGCAUUUUAGUGGGUAUUGUGGAUACAUGGGUAACACGCCACCUUGCAAUGAACUAUGAAUGAAAGGAAAACUAAUGAAAAUAGCUUGAAAACUUUAAGGGUGUGUUUGUUUGGGCUCACAAACUUUCAUUGGACUGGACUGGAUUAAUUAUUAGUCCAGUCCCAUGUUUGUUAGGCAAUGGGAUUAAGUUAAGUGGGAUUCAAUCGGACUCGCUCCGACUAUCUCCUUCGCUAAGAGUUCUUAGCGAGCAUCCUAAAAAAUGACGGGAUUGCUAAGACCGUCUUCGAAAGAGUUCGCUCGUCCUGCUUCUCGUCUUCGUCUUGCUGGUCCCGCUCCCUCAUCCUAGUCUUGCUCUCUCAUCGUCGUCCUGCUCUCUCAUCCUCGUCCUCAUCCUGCUCCUCUCCGAUUUGGUUUUGCAGAUCUGAAAUUAUUAUUGAUUUUUUUUUUAUCGAUUUUGUUGUUUUGGGUUCCAAAUCUCUGAAAUUUUUGAAUUUUUAUCACAAAAAUUGGGUGCGAUUGUGUUCUGUGAUUGGGUGUGUUUUUUAAUUGAUUGCUACCCAUUUAUUUUCAAUUUUUCUUGACAAUUUGAUGAUCCUGAGAGAUGGGAAAUCCGUCCAUCUCUCACUAGAUGAACGAACGGGUUUGUAAUCAUUUCCCUUUUGGGUUUCUAUCUUGAGAAUCAUGUGAAAGGGUUUUGAUUUUUUGGUUUCUGGGUUUUUGAAUUGGCGGCAUAUUAUGGGUCUUUUAAUCUUGAAGUUGUUGUCUUUGUUUGGUUUUUGGUGGCUAUGUAUAUUUGCAGGGUCUGGAUUUGUUUCUCAGGACCUCUAUCAGCAUGGGAUUUUCAGUGCUUCCAUUAAGCUGCCAGCUGAUUACACUUCUGGAGUUGUUGUGUUUUAUGCGAGUUCAUUCUGUUUUUCUAUUUGAUUAAGGUUUUUAAUUUGUUUCCCUCUUUGUUUGUUGUAUGAUUAUAUCUAAGGUUGUAUGAUUUUAUUGUCAACAAAAUAAUAUGACCCAGAUUUUUACUUCUCAAUUUUACAGUUUAGUAAAGAUUCAAUCUUUAUGGUUAUCUGAUUAAUCUGAAAUUUGUUUGUUUUAAACUUGGUGGCGUGGAACCCAGAAAUGUUAUGGAGAUCUAUCAAUAUCCCAAGUAAAAACUUGUUUUUUCAAACUUGGUGGUGUAAACAGUACUAUUUUUAUUAUCCUGCUUCUUAAUCCGGUACUACACCAAACGCUUCAUUAAAUUAGUCCAGCUUAAUCUAGUCUAAGCUAGUCUAGUUUAGUCUUUGAAGCUAGUCCAGUCCGAGAUAGUCCGGUGCAACAAACGCACCCUAAGUUUUAAUGAUAAGGACAAAAUAAAGGAUAAAGUGAAUAGUAUCACGUUUGACUUGUUAGUGUAAAAAUAUGAUUUUUCGUUAAAGUGAACAGUACUGUGAACUUUUCGUUAAAACUCCCUUGAAUGAAACUUCAUCUUCAAGACUUCAACAAUAUAAUAGUAAAAUGAUCUGAACUUUUCAAUUUUCUCUGCAACCUAACAGCAGAAACUCUACAACAACAAAACAAGUUUCCACGACUCGAAUUUGUGAUAUUUCGAUCAUAAAUGAGCAACAUUUUCGUAAUGCUAAAAAACUCAGUAAAUAAAAAACAUUUGCAAUAAAAAGAAAAAAAAACAAAAUUUGAGACAAAUAAUAUUUUCAAAAUACAACUACAAAAUAAUAUUUGCAAAACUCAAAAUAUAUCCACUCAAUGUAUGAAUAAAAUAAAAUAAGAUCUAGUAAGGUUAUAUUUAUAGCCAAAAUAACUAAUAACUAAUAUAUAUGUAUAUUUCGCAAAACUCAAUAUAUAUGUAAAUUAAAUAAGAAAUUCCAAGAAAAGAAUCAAAUAGAAAUUCCAGAAAAACAGAGAAAUUAGAAAAUUCAAAGGUUCGAGGAGUAGGGAUUUGAAGGCAAAUCGAUCACCCUGCAGAAGCAGUGCCGG